rnacentral:rRNA from 1 species
AUUGAACGCUGGCGGCAUGCUUUACACAUGCAAGUUGAACGGCAGCGCGGGCUUCGGCCUGGCGGCGAGUGGCGAACGGGUGAGUAAUGCAUCGGAACGUGCCCAGUAGUGGGGGAUAGCCCGGCGAAAGCCGGAUUAAUACCGCAUACGACCUGAGGGUGAAAGCGGGGGACCGAAAGGCCUCGCGCUAUUGGAGCGGCCGAUGUCGGAUUAGCUAGUUGGUGGGGUAAAGGCUUACCAAGGCGACGAUCCGUAGCUGGUCUGAGAGGACGACCAGCCACACUGGGACUGAGACACGGCCCAGACUCCUACGGGAGGCAGCAGUGGGGAAUUUUGGACAAUGGGGGCAACCCUGAUCCAGCCAUGCCGCGUGCGGGAAGAAGGCCUUCGGGUUGUAAACCGCUUUUGUUCGGGAAGAAAUCCUCUGGGCUAAUACCCCGGGGGGAUGACGGUACCGGAAGAAUAAGCACCGGCUAACUACGUG